CCACGGGAUACAGCAGUAAUUAAAAUUAAGCAAUAAACGAAAGUUUGACUAAGUUAUGCAACAUUAUAUAGGGUUGGUAAAUUUCGUGCCAGCCACCGCGGUCAUACGAUUAACCCUAAUUAAUAAAGCCCGGCGUAAAGAGUGUUAAAACUACAAAAACAAUAAGAUUAAAUUUUACCUAAGUCGUAAAAAACAACAGAUAAAAAUAAAAUCAUAAACGAAAGUAAUCUUAAUAGAUCUGAAUACACUAAAGCUAAGACCCAAACUGGGAUUAGAUACCCCACUAUGCUUAGCCAUAAACAAAGAUAUUUAAUAACAAAAAUUUUCGCCAGAGUACUACUAGCAACAGCUUAAAACUCAAAGGACUUGGCGGUGCUUUAAACCCACCUAGAGGAGCCUGUUCUAUAAUCGAUAAACCCCGAUAUACCUUACCACUUCUUGCUAAUCCAGUCUAUAUACCGCCAUCUCCAGCAAACCCCAACAGGGAUUAAAAGUAAGCACAACUAUACUCGUAAAAACGUUAGGUCAAGGUGUAACUAAUGAAGUGGAAAGCAAUGGGCUACAUUUUCUUCUUCCAAGAAAACAACAACAGUAAUCUUUAUGAAAUUAAAGAUUUAAGGAGGAUUUAGUAGUAAAUUAAGAAUAGAGAGCUUAAUUGAAUUAGGCAAUAAAGCACGCACACACC
rnacentral:rRNA from 1 species